GCUAGUCUCUGGGCUUGAGUGAGAACCAAAGAAAUUUCAACCAGGAGAAGAACUUCUAUCAUGCUCUGCCCUGGCCUGCUGUGGGCAUUCCUGGCCUCCUUUGGCUUCAGGUCCAGCAUGGCUCAGAAGGUAAUCCCAGUUCAGACCACAAUCACAAGUCAGGAAGGAGCAGCUGUGACCAUGGACUGGAAGUAUGAAACCACUUGGAGCAAUUAUUAUACUUUGUACUGGUACAAACAGCCUCCCAGCGGAGAGAUGGUUUUCCUUAUUUAUCAGGAUUAUUCUAAGCCGAAUGUAAAGCAGGGUCGCUUCUCUGUGAACUUUCAAAAGGCAGAAAAAUUCAUCAGCCUUACCAUCUCUUCCUUACAACUGGAAGACUCAGUGACUUACUUCUGUGCUCUUGGGUCUCCCACAGUAAUAAAAAUAAUGGUGGAAGAUAAUCAAAAACCUUAGAGCUCCAGAAAGGCAACCACCUGCUCAGAGGCUUGGGAGAAACCCAUGAACCACAGACAGGAAGAAGGCAGGCACUG